rnacentral:tRNA from 1 species
UAGCAAAUUGGGUAAAGCACUUGAUUGCUAACCAAAAGGUUGGUGGUUCGAACCCACC